rnacentral:rRNA from 1 species
UGCCAGCAGCCGCGGUAAUACGGAGGGGGUUAGCGUUGUUCGGAAUUACUGGGCGUAAAGCGCGCGUAGGCGGUUAGUCUAGUCAGGCGUGAAAUCCCGGGGCUCAACCCCGGAACUGUGCUUGAUACUGGCUUACUAGAGGUCUGGAGAGGGUAGCGGAAUUCCCAGUGUAGAGGUGAAAUUCGUAGAUAUUGGGAAGAACACCAGCGGCGAAGGCGGCUACCUGGACAGAUACUGACGCUGAGGUGCGAAAGCGUGGGGAGCAAACAGGAUUAGAUA